rnacentral:rRNA from 1 species
UAGGGAAUAUUGCGCAAUGGGGGCAACCCUGACGCAGCAAUGCCGCGUGAGUGAGGAAGGCCUUCGGGUUGUAAAGCUCUGUCCUUAGGGAAAAAUGACUUAGAUGUGAAUAGCAUUUAGGAGUGAUGGUACCUAAGAAGAAAGCACCGGCUAACUUCGUGCCAGCAGCCGCGGUAAUACGAAGGGUGCAAGCGUUGUUCGGAUUUAUUGGGCGUAAAGCGCGCGCAGGCGGAUCAGUAAGUCAGAUGUGAAAUCUCGGGGCUUAACCCCGAAACUGCGUCUGAAACUGCUAAUCUAGAAUACCGGAGAGGAAAGGGGAAUUUCUCAUGUAGGGGUAAAAUCCGUAGAUAUGAGAAGGAACACCAGAGGCGAAGGCGCCUUUCUGGACGGUUAUUGACGC